GACGAACGCUGGCGGCGUGCUUAACACAUGCAAGUCGAACGAAGUGGCGAACGGGUGAGUAACGCGUAAUCAACCUGCCCUUCAGAGGGGGACAACAGUUGGAAACGACUGCUAAUACCGCAUACUGAAGGAGGGGAUGGCGUCUGAUUAGCUAGUUGGAGGGGUAACGGCCCACCAAGGCGAUGAUCAGUAGCCUGUCUGGGAAGAUGAACGGCCACCUUUGGACUGGGAACCGGGCCAGGCUCCUACGGGGGGGAGCAGUGGGGAAUCUUCCGAAAUGGACGGAAGGCUGACGGAGCAACGCCGGGUGGGUGAAGACGGGCUUCGGGUUGUAAAGCUCUUUUAAUCGGGACGCGGUACCGGAAGAGAAAGCCACGGCUAACUACGUGCCAGCAGCCGCGGUAAUUC
rnacentral:rRNA from 1 species